AGAUUGAACGCUGGCGGCAGGCCUAACACAUGCAAGUCGAGCGGUAGAGAGGUGCUUGCACCUCUUGAGAGCGGCGGACGGGUGAGUAAAGCCUAGGAAUCUGCCUGGUAGGUGGGGGAUAACGCUCGGAAACGGACGCUAAUACCGCAUACGUCCUACGGGAGAAAGCGAGGGGACCUUCGGGCCUUGCGCUAUCAGAUGAGCCUAGGUCGGAUUAGCUAGUUGGUGAGGUAAUGGCUCACCAAGGCGACGAUCCGUAACUGGUCUGAGAGGAUGAUCGAGUCACUACGUAGGAACUG
rnacentral:rRNA from 1 species